CUUGCCUUUUAAGAGAAGAAAACCAUCAACUUUUUCUAACAAUAAAGGUAGAUUCAUUGUUAGAACAAUAGUUCCAAGAUGAAGGGAAGAUUCAAAACCAUGUUAGAAUAGUUCUCAUCAAUUUUGAUGACUUGGUCCAAUCUUAAAGUCUCAAAAAAAACAUGACUUUUCAAUCCUCUUCCACAUGUAACAUUCAAAGAAACUCAACAUAGAAAGAAAAAAAACAUCAUAGGAAUCUCAAAAACACAUAAACUACUUUAAACCAAACAUUUUUCCUAUAUUGUUUUUAUAUUUUAUUUCACUAUUUCUGUUAAAUGGCCAUCCUUAAAAUUAGCAAAAAACACCACAAGCGUUUCAACAACCCUUUCCCUUCAGCUCCAACCACCAUCCCCAACGUUCAAGGCUCUCUAUUCAUCAAUUCCAAAUCUCUCUCUUCACAAGAUCAAACCUUUUCAAUUGGCAAUGAUUUUCAACUCUCUUGGUCCAUCAUCAAUGGCGGGCAUCUCUCAAUUUCACAUCUUUCUCAGAAAGACAGACCUGUCUGGUCUACAAUCUCAGGUAAGGCUUUUGUUUCAGCUGCAGUGGUUGACACUGAGAUUGAAGAAAGUAGAGGAUCGUUUCUUGUUAAAGACAGAGAUGUUCAUUUGAUCUGUAAUCACCAAACCAUUGAUGAGAUUAGGAUGAUUGAUCAAUGUGGAGUUUCAGUUGCGGAUUUUACUUUGACAGAAGAGAUGAAGUUUCCUAGUUUGUUGAUCACUGGAAGGCUUUUUAAUAUGAGUAAGAAGAAUAAAAGGUUUGAAAAGUAUGGAAUUGAAGGGAAUAUACAGUUUGAAUCAAAAGGGCCAUUUGUGUAUGCGAGGUAUUGGGUUUUGUUUAAUCAGAAAAACAAGCAUGAGGUUGGAUUUCAAGUGAAGAUUGAGAAACUGAAUUUCGGUUCGAGUGAUAAGGUUUCUUCAGAAGGCUCUGGAGUUUACAAGGGUUUUAAGAAGAGGUUGAGUAGUAGGAAAAAGAGGUUGGGCUGGUUUUGGUACCUUUCAAGGCCUAGAGGGUUUGUUUUGGUUUCUUCUGUGGAGGAUGAAAGUGGAGAAAUGGAAAUAUCGAAACCGAAAGAAUUUAAUAGGAUUUGGUUGAGUUAUGCUAGUGAUGAAAAUGAGAGGUUUUAUGGUUUUGGAGAACAGUUUUCUCACAUGAAUUUUAAGGGGAAAAGAGUGCCUAUCUUAGUUCAAGAACAAGGUAUUGGAAGAGGAGAUCAACCUAUCACUUGUGCUGCUAACUUGAUCAGUUACAGGGCAGGAGGUGAUUGGAGUACAACAUAUGCUCCUUCUCCAUUCUACAUGACUUCAAAAAUGAGGUCUCUUUAUCUUGAGGGAUAUGAUUAUACCAUCUUCGAUCUUACUAAACUCGACAGAGUACAGAUACAGAUAUAUGGAAACUCGGUUGAAGGACGGAUAUUGCAUGGGAACACACCUUGUGAGCUGAUUGAACAUUUCACUGAAACCAUUGGAAGGUUACCAGAGCUUCCAGAGUGGAUCAUAUCUGGUGCUGUAGUUGGAAUGCAGGGUGGCACCGAUUCUGUACGUCGUAUUUGGGAUGAAUUAAGAACUUAUGAUGUUCCUGUCUCAGCAUUUUGGUUACAGGAUUGGGUAGGACAAAGAGAAACCAUGAUUGGCUCACAACUUUGGUGGAAUUGGGAAGUAGAUGAACAAAGAUAUUGGGGUUGGAAGGAACUUAUCAAAGAUUUUAGCACUCAAAAUAUAAAAGUUAUGACAUAUUGCAAUCCCUGUCUAGCGCCGGUUGAUGACAAGGAUAACAAAAAGAGAAACCUUUUUGAGGAGGCAAAACAGUUGGACAUAUUGGUGAAAGACGGUAACGGAAAUCCAUAUAUGGUUCCAAAUACCGCCUUUGAUGUGGCAAUGCUAGAUCUAACUCACCCGAAAACUGUAACUUGGUUCAAGCAGAUUCUACUUGAAAUGGUUGACGAUGGAGUUAGAGGAUGGAUGGCUGAUUUUGGCGAAGGCCUUCCCGUUGAUGCGGUUCUAUAUUCAGGCGAAGAUCCUAUUUCAGCUCAUAACAGAUAUCCAGAACUAUGGGCCAAAAUCAACAGAGAGAUUGUGGAAGAAUGGAAAAGCAAGUCCUUAGACAAUUUGAACGAAAACCGAGAUGAUGGUUUGGUUUUCUUCAUGAGAGCUGGUUUUAAAGAUAGCCCUAAAUGGGGGAUGCUGUUUUGGGCAGGUGAUCAGAUGGUGAGUUGGCAAGCAAAUGACGGAAUAAAGAGUUCCGUUGUUGGUCUACUUAGCAGCGGAAUAUCCGGCUAUGCCUUUAAUCACAGUGACAUCGGAGGAUAUUGUACGGUAAACUUACCUAUAGUUAAAUACAGAAGAAGUCAAGAAUUGCUUCUGCGUUGGAUGGAGCUUAAUUCUUUCACCACCGUCUUCCGCACUCAUGAAGGAAACAAACCAUCAUGCAACAGCCAGUUUUACUCAAACCAACAAACUCUAUCACACUUUGCACGCACCGCAAAAAUAUACACAGCGUGGAAAUUUUACAGAAUUCAACUAGUGAAGGAAGCGGCGCAGAAAGGAUUACCUGUAUGUCGUCACCUAUUUCUCCAUUACCCUAAUGAUGAACAUGUGCAUAACUUGAGUUAUCAACAAUUCUUGGUUGGUUCUGAGUUUCUAGUGGUGCCAGUUCUUGACAAAGGAAAGAAGAAAGUUAAAGCUUAUUUUCCAUUGGGAGAGAGUAGUAGUUGGACACAUAUAUGGACAGGAAAAGUGUUUUCGAAACAAGGAAGUGAAUCAUGGAUAGAAGCUCCAAUAGGUUAUCCUUGCGUGUUUGUUAAGGUUGGUUCUGUUAUUGGUGAAACCUUUCUGAAUAACCUGAAAAAUUUAGACAUUCAUUGAAGAAGGAUGAAUCUCAACCAACGGAGUUAUAUCUAGCGGAAUGGGAUAGACUCUCGCAAGGUGGCGAACCAAAGGUUGAGUCGAGGUGCAUGCAUUUAGAGCCCGACAUUGUGGCCUCGAAUAGGAGAUUACCUCCGGUGGAAGGAACUUGUGAGAAACAAAAAAGAAUGAAUCUUAGAUAAGUAACAUAGUUUGUAAGUUUUAACAACUUUUGGGCAAGAUGGAAUGAGAAGAAUGAUCAAAACAAGCUUGCAAUGAGGGUGGAAUGCAAAAAGAAGAAGAUUUGUGCAAGGAGGUCCGCUCAGCGGAGCUGAAGCGGACCCAGGCAGGGAUGCAGCAAUUUUUUUCAUCAGCAAGUCCGCUCAGCGGAGCUGAAGCGGACAUGGGCAGAGACGAGCAGAAAAUUUACCUCCGCUCAGCGGACCUUGAAGACAAAUCAGAUAUUUUUACUGCUCCGCUCAGCGGACCUGCUCCGCUCAGCGGACCUACUUUUUCAACUUUUGUUCUUAGCCACAUAAAAUUGAUGAUUAAGAGUGGUUAGCUUAGUUCUUAUGAUAACACACACUUGGGAGAAAAGUUAGGGCAAGAGAAGAAGAGAAAAACCAUUUUUCUUAAAAGAAAAUCAAGAUUUCCAAACAUCUUUCUUUGAUCUUCUUGAGUUUGAUGUCACUAAAUCUUGGUUUGUUGCUUGUUGUUGAAGCUUCCAUGGAUAUGGAGGGCUAAGUUUCAUCUUGUGUCAAGAUUAGAGGUAGUUAGUUUGUAAAUAUGUACUUUCUUUGAUCUAUUAUGUAUGAACUUGGUUAAUGAUUAAUACAUGGUGAAUAUCUUGUUAUU